GUUAUUCUGCUUAAGGCGUCAUUUAUUUUACCCACUGUCAUUUGUAAAAUCAAAAUUAUACUCCUCCAAAUCAAACUGCAUGGUGUGCUUUCUACUCCAAAUAAUUUUCUCCGAAAGAGGCCUCGAUUUUCAAAUCCAAUGUUUCACCCUCGAAGCUGUCUGGGGCACGAAUCACGAUCAAACUCAUAUUAAAGAACUGCCGCAGCAAAGCAUGUAUCCUC
rnacentral:lncRNA from 1 species